UAUACUGCAGUCGAGCGGACAGAUAGGGAGCUUGCUCCCUGAUGUUAGCGGCGGACGGAUGAGUAACACGUGGGUAACCUGCCUGUAAGACUGGGAUAACUCCCGGAAACCGGGGCUAAUACCGGAUGGUUGUUUGAACCGCACGGUUCAAACAUAAGAGGUGGCUUCGGCUACCACUUACAGAUGGACCCGCGGCGCAUUAACUAGUUGGUGAGGUAACGGCUCACCAAGGCGACGAUGCGUACCCAACCUGAGAGGGUGAUCGGCCACACUGGGACUGACACACGGCCCACACUCCUACCGGAGGCAGCAAUAGGGAAUCUUCCGCACUGGACGAAAGUCUGACGGACCAACGCCCCGCGAGUGAUGAAUGUUUUCGGAUCGAACAGCUCUCUUGUUAGGGAAGAACGAGUACCGUUCGAAUAGGGCGGUACCUUGACGGUCCCUAACCAAAAGGCCCCGCCUAAUUACUGGCCAGCAGCCACACAAA
rnacentral:rRNA from 1 species